rnacentral:lncRNA from 1 species
UAAGACAAAAAUUUUGAAAAUCAAAUACCUACAAUUUUUGUCUGAAUUUAUGAAAACUUUUUUAAACAUUUUUUCGGUGCAUUUACUUAAACUUGUAAUUAUAAAUUGAUUUGCCGUAGGCUACAUGAAAGCUGACGAAUGUAUCGAUUUGUAACAUUCAUCGAACGAAGAACCCAAAGUGUGUCGAAUAAAAUCUUGACAUAACUUGCCUUCAAGUUCUGCAACCAUCAAGGCAGCGACCAAACUAAUUCUGAUGGAUUGAAAUGUCGACUCGACUCCCCUGAAAAAUCUGCAACCCACGGUUUUUCAACACAUCUGUGGUGUCAGCGAGAGAAGGAUGGAAUGAUACAUUCUUCAUUCCUCUUGAGCCCCCAGUUAAUGAAGCGAGACGACCUUUUUUCGACCGCCUACUGUGAUCCUUGUUUUCGAGUUCGCCUCCACUCACUCCGAUUCUACCUGCCUAUAAGCAGGUACUGAGUACAUCACUUCCCUCCAAGAAAAAAUGGAGAACCAAGUUUGCAGAAAGUGUCCAAAAGAGUGUCAUGGACACAAUCGUAAAAGAAGCGACAGAGAAAUUUUUAUCCUGGCUAGGAAAAAAUAUAUGCUGCAAAUGGCGCUGGCUAGCCUGCUGGUCAGCCGAAUUCUGCCAAAUUCCGAAUAUUACAACAAUCUCUCCUGAUUACAACCACCAACCCCCACUGUUGUAAAAUUUUUCAAAUUAAAAUAUGUCCUGCUGCAACGUUGAUAUUUUUCAGUAAAAAACCCCCUUAUUCAACUUUAUUUCCUUUCUAGUUUUUAUCAUGUAAGUAAAAGAUCAAUCUUUGUCUCAGAUCUGCUCAAACGCAUUACUUUAAUUGGCUUUCACUUAGUUGAUUAUCAGUAAUUGAGGAGCAUAUAUUAAUGCCGAAGUUAAAUCAUAAAGUUAAGGUACAACAGACAACCUGUAUGUUUCUAUAAGAAAUAAUUAAUAUUCAAUUCAACUGAAGAUGACAAUACUGUUUCUUAUGAUUACGGAUAUAUCGUUGGCUGUGCGGAACAACUAAUCAACAAAUACAGUGGCGUGGCGUGAAUGAUCUAUUAUCGAUAUUUCUUCAUUUGAAGCUGUAGUAAAGAAUAGAUUAGAUGUAGAUGUUCGCUGCGAAAACCUUGAUAAUCGAUUCUUUUCCAUAUAUUUAAAUGACAGAUCAAUGGAUAUAUCGCAAAGCACGCCACGCCACUGAAAAAAUAUUAUAAAAUAUAUUGCAGGAUCUUAUUAUAAAAUGAAUUAUAAAGUACAUUUUGUAAUAUAUCAUAAAUUAUAAUAUAAUGUGAUAUAUUAUCUUCCAAACUUACGGAAGUUGGUAUUACUGUUGGUGUGGAAAACAAUUUACGAAGGGUGAUCCAAAAUUUCCGCUCCACCUCGUAACUUUUUAAAACCAAAUUGAGAGAGACAAACCUGAAGUAUCAGAUCAUUUGCUCAGUUUGAAAAUUUCAAGUUAUCGAGGUUAAGGAACUUUCGAAUCAUUCUGCAGGUCAUGCCAUUAUCAACAAAUAUUAUUGGAUUUACAAAAACUUUAUGUAAUAUAUUAUUGUAAACAUAGUAGCAAUCAUUUUU